UACGUGGGCAGCGAGCGUUGUUCGGAGUUACUGGGCGUAAAGGGUGUGUAGGCGGUUGCCUAAGUUUGGUGUGAAAUCUCCCGGCUCAACUGGGAGGGUGCGCCGAAUACUGAGUGACUCGAGUGCGGGAGAGGAGAGUGGAAUUCCUGGUGUAGCGGUGAAAUGCGUAGAUAUCAGGAGGAACACCGGUGGUGUAGACGGCUCUCUGGACCGUAACUGACGCUGAGACACGAAAGCGUGGGUAGCAAACAGG
rnacentral:rRNA from 1 species